rnacentral:tRNA from 1 species
AUUUAUAUAAUUUAUACAAAAUAUUACAUUUUCAUUGUAAAAAUACUUAAAAGUUAUAAAUA